ACUGCUCAGUAACACGUAGUCAACAUGCCCAGAGGACGCGGAUAACCUCGGGAAACUGAGGAUAAACCGCGAUAGGUCAUAAUUACUGGAAUGUGUUAUGGCCCAAAUCUAUAUGGCCUCUGGAUUGGACUGCGGCCGAUCAGGCUGUUGGUGAGGUAAUGGCCCACCAAACCUUUUACCGGUACGGGCUCUGAGAGGAGGAGCCCGGAGAUGGGCACUGAGACAAGGGCCCAGGCCCUAUGGGGCGCAGCAGGCGCGAAACCUCUGCAAUAGGCGAAAGCCUGACAGGGUUACUCUGAGUGAUUCCCGCUAAGGGAAUCUUUUGGCAUCUCUAAAAAUGGUGCAGAAUAAGGGGUGGGCAAGUCUGGUGUCAGCCGCCGCGGUAAUACCAGCACCCCGAGUGGUCGGGACGAUUAUUGGGCCUAAAGCAUCCGUAGCCGGUCUUGCAAGUCUUCCGUUAAAUCCAGCUGCUUAACAGAUGGGCUGCGGAGGAUACUACAAGGCUAGGAGGCGGGAGAGGCAAGCGGUACUCAGUGGGUAGGGGUAAAAUCCGCUGAUCCAUUGAAGACCACCAGUGGCGAAGGCGGCUUGCCAGAACGCGCUCGACGGUGAGGGAUGAAAGCUGGGGGAGCAAACCGGAUUAGAUACCCGGGUAGUCCCAGCUGUAAACGAUGCAGACUCGGUGAUGGGCUGGCCUUGUGCCAACCCAGUGCCGCAGGGAAGCCGUUAAGUCUGCCGCCUGGGGAGUACGGUCGCAAGACUGAAACUUAAAGGAAUUGGCGGGGGAGCAC
rnacentral:rRNA from 1 species